rnacentral:rRNA from 1 species
UACGAAGGGGGCUAGCGUUGCUCGGAAUCACUGGGCGUAAAGGGUGCGUAGGCGGGUCUUUAAGUCGGGGGGGAAAUCCUGGAGCUCAACUCCAGAACUGCCUUCGAUACUGGAAGACUUGAGUCCGGGAGAGGUGAGUGGAACUGCGAGUGUAGAGGUGAAAUUCGUAGAUAUUCGCAAGAACACCAGUGGCGAAGGCGGCUCACUGGCCCGGUACUGACGCUGAGGUGCGAAAGCGUGGGGAGCAAACAGG